GAUCUCUCCCAACUUCCCAAGAACCAGCUCGAGUAGAGUAACCUCUCUCUAAUUCAGUCAUACUAGAGCUUCGAAGUGCAGAGAAAACCUAUAAAAAUUUCUUUUUACAAGAUGCCCUCUCUGCAAGCUUCUAGUUGCAGAACUUUCCAUCGUCCUCCAAUGUUCUCCUCGUUUUGGGGCAAGGAUCUGUGCUCCUCGUACAGUGGAGCUAUCGGGAUGCUUGGUGCUAGAAAAGAGAAGCUUCGUUUCAAUGGUGGAACCGUCAGGUUGACGGUUAUCGCAAUGUCCAGUGGCUCUUCUUCUUCCCUCAAGAUGAACCUGAACGAGUACAUGGUCACUCUUGAAAAACCACUCGGUAUUCGAUUCGCUCUCUCCGUCGACGGCAAAGUCUUCGUUCACUCUCUCAAGAGAGGGAGUAAUGCAGAGAAGUCGAGGAUAAUCAUGGUGGGUGACACUUUGAAAAAGGCUAGUGAUUCGUCUGGCGGUAGGCUUAUGGAGAUCAAGGACUUCGGCGAUACACAGAAGAUGCUGAAGGCGAAUACAGGAUCAUUUAGCCUAAUUCUUGAGAGGCCCUACUCUCCAUUUCCGAUUCAACAAUUACAUCUGGGUGAUCUUGAUAUACUAUUCAAUAGAGGUCGAGUUUCUGUUGCCAGCUGGAACAAGAGUAUAUUGGCAUCAAAUUUGCAAACAUCUUCUGACAGUAAUGGGAAUUCUGGAUUUGUCAUGUUUUCUUCGAAGUUUCUUACAUCCCAAGGAUGGAAACUUUUGAGUGGUCAAAAUGGACAAAUUCAAUCACAACUGCAGAAAAAUAUUCUUUCUCAAUCCCUAAGUGAACUUGUCUGUAUAUUUUCUGAAGAAGAGUCGGGAGAUGGAGAAUGGGCUCAUGGGAAUUUUCCUCUCGAGGAAUAUGUUAAGGCACUGGAACGUUCUAAAGGGGAGCUAUAUUAUAAUCACUCACUUGGCAUGCGCUAUAGCAAGGUUACGGAGCAAAUAUAUGUGGGAUCAUGUAUUCAAACAGAAUCUGACAUAGAGACUUUGUCAGAUGUUGCUGGUGUGACUGCCGUCGUGAAUUUCCAAAGUGGAAUUGAAGCUGAAAAUUGGGGGAUUAAUUCCACUUCAAUCAAUGAAUCAUGCCAAAGAUCCAAUAUUCUCCUGAUUAACUAUCCUAUAAGGGAUGGAGACUCCUUUGAUAUGAGGAAGAAGUUACCGUUUUGCGUGGGGCUUCUAUUACGUUUGUUAAAAAAGAACCAUCGUGUUUUUGUUACUUGUACAACUGGUUUUGAUCGAUCGCCAGCUUGUGUGAUUGCAUACCUGCAUUGGAUGACAGACACUUCCCUUCAUGCAGCUUAUAAUUUUGUCACCGGGUUGCAUUCUUGCAGACCUGACAGACCAGCAAUUGCUUGGGCAACAUGGGAUCUUAUAGCUAUGGUGGAAAAAGGCAGUCAUGAUGGUCCCGCUACACAUGCUGUGACCUUUGUGUGGAAUGGGCAAGAGGGAGAAGAUGUAAAUUUGGUUGGAGAUUUUACUGGAAAUUGGAAAGAACCAAUUAAAGCAAUCCAUAAAGGUGGACCUAGAUAUGAAGUGGAAGUUAGACUCCCGCAAGGAAAGUACUACUACAAAUUUAUCACUAAUGGGCAAUGGAGACAUUCAACAUCUUCACCAUCGGAAAGGGAUGAAAGGGGGAAUGUUAACAAUGUAAUUGUGAUUGGCGAUACUGCCAGUGUUAGACCUUCUAUCCAACCACAAAAGAAGGAUGCAAAUGUAGUGAAGGUGAUUGAGAGGCCUCUGACAGAAAAUGAGCGCUUUAUGUUGGCAAAAGCAGCUCGUUGUGUUGCAUUCUCCGUCUGUCCAAUCAGACUAGCUCCCAAGUAGUCGAGGGCCCACAAUAACCCCAAACGUUGUUGGGUCCUUGAUACUACGGCAUUUUCAAGCAGCCCUUGUCGAGACAUUAGUUGUCAUCUAUUGUUGUACAUUCUCAAGUCAAUCCCUUUAAGCUCGGUUCUGAAGGAACAUCGACAUAGAACCACUGAUAGGAGCUUCUGUCACUAUCCUGGACAGAGGGGUUUGCCAAAGGCUGCCUUGUAUAUCUGUGCAGAAUUUCUUUGCUUUACUUGUGUGUCUGUGCAGAAUUUCUUUGCUUGUGUAUGUUUUUUUUUUUUCCUUGGGUUUUUGUAAACCAGCAUAAGCAAGUAUUAAUGUUUGUGCGUGAUUAUUCCCCGCCCAC